rnacentral:rRNA from 1 species
AACGAACGCUGGCGGCAGGCCUAACACAUGCAAGUCGAGCGAGGACUUCGGUCCUAGCGGCGGACGGGUGAGUAACGCGUGGGAACGUGCCCUUUGCUUCGGAAUAGCCCUGGGAAACUGGGAGUAAUACCGGAUGAGCCCUUUGGGGGAAAGAUUUAUCGGCGAAGGAUCGGCCCGCGUUGGAUUAGGUAGUUGGUGGGGUAAUGGCCUACCAAGCCGACGAUCCAUAGCUGGUUUGAGAGGAUGAUCAGCCACGCUGGGACUGAGACACGGCCCAGACUCCUACGGGAGGCAGCAGUGGGGAAUCUUAGACAAUGGGGGAAACCCUGAUCUAGCCAUGCCGCGUGAGCGAUGAAGGCCUUAGGGUUGUAAAGCUCUUUCAGCUGGGAAGAUAAUGACGGUACCAGCAGAAGAAGCCCCGGCUAACUCCGUG